GUGGAUAUAGCGCAGUUGGUUAGAGCGCCAGUUUGUGGCACUGGAGGUCAUGGGUUCGAAUCCCAUUUUCCACCCCA
rnacentral:tRNA from 1 species